UGUUGCAAGAUCGAAUCCCCGAGCUGACAAGGUAAAAAUCGGUCGUUCUCCCCCUGAACAAGGCAGUUAACCCACCUUUCCUAGGCCGUCAUUGAAAAUAAGAAUGUGUUCUUAACUGACUUGCCUAGUUAAAUACAAGGUUAAAAAUAAUAAUAAUAAACAUUAAAAAAAAAAAAAAAUCGGCCACAAUCAGUGUUCAAAAAUGCAGAUUACCGAUUAUGAAAACAUGAAAUCGGCAAUUCCGAUUAAUCGGUCGACCUCUAGACCAGACCCUCCAUUAUACUACCCCCAGAAAAAUCACACACAGCAGAGCAGUUUCCUAUACCAGGCCUCAUUGUGUGUGUGUAUGUGUCGACCCUAAUGGUCUGCAGUCUCCAGCAUUUCUGUUUUAAUCUUUCCUUUCUAAUUAGGCCAGGGACAGACUCAGACCUGGUACAAUAGGUUAAUGGACAGCCAAUCAAUGACAUUAUCAAUCCAUUAACCAGCAGUACAGUUGACUUCCAGAGCCAGAUAUGGAUCUCCCUGUGAUCGCCUGGGAGGAAACAGAAUGAACAGCCCGUCUAUAGCCGCUGGCCAGGGAUAUUGGUGCAGCACAUCCUGGGCUCCGGCUUGGCAGAGGGCUCUUUUUACAAACCCUGCAGUGGUGAAACACCUGGAUUGAUACACAGACAGAUACUCUGUAAAUCCACACACAGACAAAUCUCACACAACUUGUGGAAAUAAGCACACACACACAAAUAACACUCUAAACACUCGUUUAACAAAUCUCACACACACACACACACACCUCCGCUAUUGAUUGAGCUUAUUAAGACGUCAGCACAUCACGUUGUCUUGCUUGCAAACCCCUACGUCAAUUCGCUAUAGGGCUCUGUAUUGAUCCAUACGAGUUUCCCUGGACUAAACUGCCCCCACACCAGAUAUCAAAGUAGACUGGACACUGACCAAAAGCAGAGAGAGAAAACACUUCUCCUUCACUGUUCUCUUACACAACAACGGGAGCUUUGAUGCCCAGUCCUCCCACACUCAGUGGGUACUGACAGUCCUCCCACACUCAGUGGGUACUGC
ensembl:lncRNA